GUAGACGACACACCAGGUUUGUUGGAGAAAAGUCGAGUUGAAGUUAGAAGUAGAUCUCCUGAGUGGAGAUUACAGGUCUACGAUUGAUCUUCACUGGAAAGAAUAAUGAAGAUAUCCAUUGUAAUUUUAUUCCCGUUCUUGUGGCUGCAGCUGGACUGGAUGAGCCGAGGAGAGAACGUGGAGCAGCGUCCUCCUACCCUGAGUGUCCAGGAGGGAGGCAAAUCUGUUAUCAACUGUACCUACACAGACAGUUCAUCAGACUAUUUCCCAUGGUAUAAACAAGAAGCUGGGCAGGGGCCCAAGUUCAUCAUAGACAUUCGCUCCAAUGUGGAUAAAAAACAAGACCAAAGAUUCACUGUUUUGUUGGAUAAGAAGGCCAAGCACAUCUCCCUGCACAUCACAGCCACCCAGCUUGAGGACUCAGCUGUCUACUUCUGUGCAGCGAGUACACAGUGCUCCCCAGGCACCUGUGUCCUGUACCCAAACCUGUGACUGGGGCAGAGCCUCAACUCCUUUGCUUCUUCAAAUUAAGAUCCCUUUGUGGAAUGUGAUGUCACAGAUGACAGCUUAAUCUGC